GACGAACGCUGGCGGCGUGCUUAACACAUGCAAGUCGAGCGGAAAGGCUCCUUCGGGGGUACUCGAGCGGCGAACGGGUGAGUAACACGUGAGUAAUCUGCCCUGCGCUCUGGGAUAGCCACCGGAAACGGUGAUUAAUACCGGAUAGGACCACUUCACGCAUGUGAUGGUGGUGGAAAGUUUUUUCGGCGCAGGAUGUGCUCGCGGCCUAUCAGCUUGUUGGUGAGGUAAUGGCUCACCAAGGCUUUGACGGGUAGCCGGCCUGAGAGGGUGACCGGUCACACUGGGACUGAGACACGGCCCAGACUCCUACGGGAGGCAGCAGUGGGGAAUAUUGGACAAUGGGCGGAAGCCUGAUCCAGCAACGCCGCGUGAGGGAUGACGGCCUUCGGGUUGUAAACCUCUUUCAGUACCGACGAAGCGAAAGUGACGGUAGGUACAGAAGAAGGACCGGCCAACUACGUGCCAGCAGCCGCAGUAAAAC
rnacentral:rRNA from 1 species